UGUAAAUGCAUACAGGAAUACAAAAAAAGUGGAUAAAUACUAUUUCCACUUCAGUUCCAGUAAUAUGCAAAAUUAUCUGCCAUCCUUUGCCCUGGCCUGGUAACCUGUUGUGAUACGCAGCACCAUUCUUCAGCUUGUGGGAAGCUUCAUGUUGGAAAGAGUUCAAUUUGCCCUGCAGGUAUUUUGUGGCUACCAUAUAGUUGGCACAGUAUCACAAGUUUUUGACCAUGAUGUUUUAUUUUCCAACAUGCUACAGACAGCCUAGAACAAGUACUGGUAUAAUUCAAAGUAGCAGAAAGAAUGCUUUGUAUUCGCCAAAUCCCAUUUCAUGUAUUCUUCCUGGGCACACAAGAAGGCUACCUUUCCUUUGUGGUUAGAUUGAAGUUAUGACUGAGUUCAGGACAAUCACAGGUGAGUAGAAAUGAUGUGUUCUUCUUCCAGGCCUGGCCAUAAAACCUUCCAGAAAAUGGAUGACACUCUGUUCUCAUAUCCCAGUGACUUCUAAGGCCAUAUUUUUUAAAUGUCAGGAGAAUAAUAUGAAGAGGUCUGGAUCUGAGUUACCACUUGGAGAAAAGCCACUACAGAGAUCUGUAUCAGAUUAUGCUCUGUCAUCUGUAAAAUAACAGUCCUAAUCCUUGUCAUGACUACUUCUCACGGUUGUUACAAGAUGCAAAUGAAAUCAUGGAUGCGUAAGAACUUGGUAAACUAUAAAGUUCUGUGAAGUAGAAAGCACUGUAAUUAUUUCUCUGGAGUUCCAAACCUCUGCCAGGAAUACCCUUUCCACAUAGAAGAGGGAUGCCUCACUGCAGCCCCAAAGUGUUACUGUUUUCUGGAAAUGUCAGCACAGACUUUUGUUCAGCAAAGCAUGAGCUCAAACGGCCUGAAUGCAACCCAGAACACUUGGCAGGCAUUUUCUGCCUGGAACAGUUGCUCAAAGCUGAAAAUAAAGGUGCCUAUGAUUCUAAACAUGGAAUGUCUGGAGAGGAGAGAAAAAGAAACUUGCACAGUUUCAAUCUCUCCUGAAGAUGCGGGUGCAAGGUAGGGAGUGGGGCGUGUGGUCCGUAUCUGGUACAGGAGAGGGAGAGAGGUCAGACUUCACCCUGGGAAGGAUAGCUCACAGACCUCAGAAAGGCCAGGGCACAGUUGUAGGCAACAUACUCAGCUGCCUACAGUGUGUGUUUUUAGGAACAGGAAGGACCCCAGUUUCUGAUUUACUCCAUAGCUGAACUCCAAAACUCCCUGGGUAAAUCUUUCUUUUAAACCAAGCAGUCCUUUCUUUCCUGUCUAAAACCAACCAACAAAAAAUUUCAUGGGAGCCUUUGUGCCAAAAGUUAAUGUUGUCCUAAGGAGACCUGGAGGAAAUGAAGAAACUGAAAUGCAUUUUUUUUUUUUGGCACAGUGGGGACAUGGGAAGUGAUUUGCAUAUGAGAACUGAGAGGACAAAGUCAACCAACAGGCCCUUGAACCCAACUUCCUACAUGGGGGCUCUGCUGCAAGGGAAGCCAGGUUCUUCAAACCACAAUACCAUAUUUAGAGAUCUUGCCAUGUGCCAGGCACUCUUCUAAGUGCAUCACAAGCAUUAGCUUAUUUAUCAGUCAUCAGAAACCCUGUGAAGUAGGUACUGUUAUCAUCCACAUUUACAAAUGGGGAAACUGAGGCCCAGAGAAGUUAAGGUGUAAGACAAGUGCCAAAGCCAGGAUUCAAACCCAGGGCGCAGACUCUAUAGUCCAUGUCUAUACACUAAACUCCAUUUUGCCUUGUCCAGAAAAGGCAUUGGAAUAUGCUUGUUACCCUCAGAGGUCCCAGUGGUCUUCGACACCAUGAAAUUCUUUGACUCGAACUCAUUAGAUGAGAGUCCGCCAAUCAAAAACAUAAACAAGAAAGCCCUUUCUUGAUGCAUUUGUGUUGUGCAGAUAUGUGAUCGUGGCUGACAGAAAUAAAACGCAGAUAAUCCUUGCCAAUUCCUUGCCACUGGAAACAGAGGGGUUUUUGAAGCAUUUCCAGUGAAUCCAUCAGCGCCCCCAGUGCCCAUAGCAUGGGAAGCCAGCCCUGAGUGAACUCAUUCCCUAUCACUUGGUCAUUGGUUACAAUACAUAAAUAAAAAGAAAGCUUCUGGA